rnacentral:rRNA from 1 species
UACGUGGGGUGCUAGCGUUAUCCGGAUUUACUGGGCGUAAAGCGUACCGUCGGUGGCUGCACAAGUUUCUCGUUUAAGCCUAGGGCCUAACUCUAGACAGGCGGGGAAAACUGUGCGGCUUGAAUCUGUUCGGGGAACCUGGAAUUCUCGGUGGAGGGGUGAAAUCCGUAGAUAUCGAGAGGAACACCAUACGCGAAGGCAGGGUUCUAGGACACGAUUGACACUCAGGGACGACAGCUUGGGGAGCAAA